GAAAUCAAUAGGUAUGUAUCAACAUGUACAAUAUUUAUCCAAGUGAGGACACUUGUAUAACCAAUAUUAGAAAUUAACGAACAAAAUAUAUAUCUUGAUUUAAUAACAGAAUUAAAGAACUUGUAUAAUAGAUUAUAAUUUAAUAACUUACUUAUACAGAAUCAUUGCAUAAGUAUAUACAAGGUUAAAAAUAUUUGAACAGUGAAAAAGAAUAGUUCAGAUAUUAGCUUACAUAUGUCCAUUGCAUAAAGUAAAUGCAAAGGUAAGAUACUUGCCUGAUCUGUUGCUUACACAACUUAGUUUUAUCUUUUAUAUCGAGACCUAUCAUUAAUAAGAUCAUUUUGUUGAUUAGAAUAAUAUAUCGUAAUACAUAGUACUGUUAUUUACAGUCAAUAUAUAACCUAAUCACAUUGUCACAUAUGUAUAACAGUCAUUGGAUCAUAAACAAACACUUUUGUAGUUAAACUAUCUAAGUCCAGAUCAAUUUCUAAAACAUUUCGGUGUACCGAUGACUUUAUCGGGUAAUUAUUGAGUCUAAAACUCUAUUCUAUAUUUCAAUAUUCAUUUAAAUAAUUUAAAUAUAAAUCAUAUUAUUUUUCUUAGACUUAUAAUAGAUUUUAAAUAAUUAUUAUUAUUUAUCAUGAUUUUUCAAAUACUAGAAUCAUUAUAAAAUGAUUUAAAUAUUAAUUAAUUCAAUUAUCAUUAAUAUUUAAUUAAUAUUUAAAAUAUUAAUGAAACCAUUGCCAAAAUAUUAAAGUUAUUUAUAAUAACUUAAAAUAUUUUUAAAGUAUUAAUAUUAUCCUUAAAUAAUUUUUAAAACAUUUAAAAUCAUUUUUAAAUAAUUACAUUUAAUAUUAAAUAUUAAUAUAUUAUUUAUCAAAAUAUUAAAAUUCAUUUAUUAUAACUUAAAAUAUUUUUAAUUCAUUUAUAUCCUUUUUAAAUUAAUAAAACCAUUUUUAAACUAUUUAUUUAAUAUUAUCAUUAAAUAAAUAUAAUAUCAUUAAUAUUAAAUUAUUAAUGAAAUUUACCUUUAAAUAUUAAAAUUUAUAUUUUAUCAAUUAAAAUAUUUUUAAACACUUUAUUUUCAUUUAAAAGGAUUUUUAUAAUAUUAAAAUCAUUUUUAUACUAAUUUAUUUAAUAUAAUUAUUAAAUAAAUAUAAUAUAAUUAAUAUUAAAUAAUUAAUGAAUUUUUCUUUAAAAUAUUAAAAGUUAUAUUUUAUAACUUAAAAUAAUUUUAAAUACCUUAUUAUCAUUUAAAAUGAUUUUUAAUAUAAUAAAGUCAUUUUUAAUUAAUUUAUUAAAUAAAUUAAAUAUCAAUAAUAUUCAAAUAAAUACUAAUAUUUAUGAAAAAUAUGUCAAAUUAUUAAAAGUUAAUUUAUAACUUAAAAUAAUUUUUAAAAUAAUUUUUGUAAUUUUUAGAAAUUAAAUUAAUUAAUUUUAAUAAGUAUAUCGUUAAAGCCUUUAGCGAAAGUAAGUGUCGCCUAAUGUGUUCUUGAGGUUAAAGAACAUUCAUAUUCGGUUUCUGAGUACUUACUUUGACCGAACAUUAAUCACUGAUUCAAAGUGUUUCUCAGCAGGAUAUGGUUUUGAUCUUGUAGUACUGAUGUAGAACUACAAGAAUCAACAAUAAAUAGAGUCAUAUUGCAUCAAAAAAGUAAGAUCUAUGCUUGCAGAGUAGCUGUCAGACGUGUUUUUCAUGUUCUGGGCUGCCCAGAAACAUGAAGUCAUCGCCGGUCAACGAUAUUCACGGCCUUAUUUCAUGAAAUAUGUUCAUGUUAUGGGUGGUCUAGACGUCGGGCCUUGUAGAGCAACUAACAGGGUACAUGUUUUGAACACUAGUCAAGUCUAAACAUCACCAAUCAGAAAGAUCUAAGACCUUGAACAAGCUGUCAGAGUUGUUCUUCAUUUUCUGAGUUACCCAGAAAUGAAGAACAGUUUGACUGACUAUAUUUGGGCUUCCACAACUUGCUAAUCUUGUAAUGAUUUUGUGAUUUAAUGGUUUCAGUCUGUAACCAACAUGACAAGGAAGAGAUCUAUUACAUAAAAUCCAUCUAAUAACAACACAAUCACAAAAUAUGGCUCGGUUAAACCAUGUCAAAAGUCACGUUCAUAUGUUUUCUAGGUUACUCAGAAAACAUAUUUCGUGAACAUCCUUCCUGGUUUGACCAUCCACUAAGUCCAUCAUGUUUGAUGAUUAAGUGAUCUAAAAGCAUAAAAAUAGAGUCCAUAUAACAUAUUACAACUUAGACACAACAAAAAUAACAUAACAUCAAACCACUGUCAGAUCCAAGCCCUUAAACUUCUUGUCAGACCGAUCUCGGUAAGUUCUGGGCUGCCCAGAUUUGCUUGGUCAUUGUCGGUCAACCGACUUUGACCAUCAAUAUCUUACAAUCUAAACCAGAUCUGACCAUGAUUCGAGUUGCAGAUAAAAGCCCUCAUGACAUACUACAAGUACAAACUUUCAAAACACAAAAAGUACUAUAAAUAGAAACAGAUCUAGGAGACCUGACAUUCGUUGUCAGACAACAUUUUUAAAAUUUUCCAGAUUUUGAAAAAAAUCAAAUUCGAGCCUAUAGAUGUUAUGGAUCUAACAUUUAUCAACCUAGAUCACUUAGUUAUACUCCAUACAACAUAAUACAACACAAAAAUCUAACAUCUAACAUAGGAUUAAAGAUCAGAUUUUUAAAUUAGGUUUAUACCUCUUUUUGAGCAAAACUUGAAUCUAAGGCUUCUGAUCUGAUAUGAAGAUGGUAGGGAAUUGAUUUAGGGACUGAAAUGUUUAAGAUUUUCGCGGGUUAGAGAGAGAGAGGGUCUUGGAUGAGUGUUGUGAUCAAAUGAGGCUUGAAUAUGACAUUUUUUUCUCUCAUAAUCUAUAUAUAUAAUGUUGUAAUGAAUAAGGCUGAUGAUAUAUAUCUAAUGUGCUGAGAAUUUGGUCAAUUGGAAAGUCUAGGGUUGGUCACCAACUCCCACACUUGGCAAAAUUCACAAGUUAGCUUCUAUAAUACACAAAAGGGUAUCUUGGACAAUUCGAUCCCAAUUUUAAUGGCACUUUAGUCAAUUGGCUAACCCUUAGGGUUUAACUCUAAGGUUAAAAAAAUUAGUUUCUAGGAUUUCAAUUUAGGGUUUAAAAAAAAAAAUUUAACUUUCUAAUUUUGAAAAUUAGGGUUUCCUAAUUGUGUUUAAUUUCCUAAUUACAUAGUACAUGAAAAUCAGAUUUAAGAUAUACUAAUUAGCAAUUAGCUUUUCAAUUUAAAGAUUAGGGUUCCUAUUUUAGCAUUUAGUAUUCCUAAUUUAGAAAUUAGGACUUCUGAUUAGAAAUUAGGGUUUCUAAUAAUUAGGUUUUAUCAUGAUACACCAUAAUUGACCAACCAUUAUCUAUAUACACAUACAAUACAUAUUUAUAGCACAUAAAUAUAAUUAAUAUUAUAUUAUUAUUCUCUCUCCUUGUUUAAAAUCCAAAAUUAGGGUUUGGAUUCCAUAUCUAAUUUAUCUUGCAUAUAUAGCAUUAUUAAUUAAGUUAAAAUAAUUAACUUAACUAAUCUGAAUAAAUUCACAUAAUAAAAUAUUUAUUAUAAUAAUUCUAAUAAUCAUUUCAUAUAUUAUUUAAAUAAUAUUAUAAUCAUAUAUUUUUAUGGAAAAUAAAUAAUAAAAUGUUUUUACUUCAAAAUUAAUUUAUUAUAAGAAUAUAAUUUAUAAUGAUCAAUAAUUUUAAAAAAUUAAAUUAUUUGUAAUUAUUCAUGUAAUAAAUAAAUUUUUAUUUAUCACAUAUAUACAUAUGCUUUACCUUGAACAUAUUCCUACCUUUAAAAUAAACAAAAAUUAUAUACAAAAUUUCUUAUUUAAUUAUAUCGAAAAUAUUGGGUUAUUACAGAAUUAACUAGGAAAAGGAAAACAAACAACAUAUCCUAAAACAAGUUUACAGCUAGUCAAACACUACAGUAAAAGGGCAAAUCAAAUGUAGUAGAAACAACCUGGAUAUUGCAACUCUGCCAUUGAAAGAUACUAAAUCACUUUCUUAAACUUGAAUAUGAUACAAAGAAAAGAAAAUAAACAACUCAAAUUACCAAGCAACCACAGGCAAAUAUUUAGACAUUAGUUGAAAAAAAUAAAAAUAGAAAAACUGAAAGCAAACACAUUAUAUAGGGAAUAGUUAUUCAUAAAUAUGAUAAACAAAAAACAUGAGAGAAACAGCUAAAAAGCCGUUUCACAAUCAGGAAAUGUUAACGAAAGUUGUCAACUAAAACAUGAUAUUACAAAAAUGAUUCAUGUACCCUUUUGAAAGGAAUUUAGAGAGUGACAUAUGCUCAAAACCUUUUCUUAUAAAAAAGGAAAGUAUAUCCUGAGAUUACAUGGAUUCCUCCAAAGAGAACAAGAUUAAUAAAAAAUAAUUUGUCUUGGAGCGUGCAGUCUCCAAGAUUCUUCUUAUGGGCCCUCCGUAAAAAGUUAAGGAGCUAGGUUGAUCAGUUGAUACUUGCUUGUCUAUGGGGUGGUGUUGCCUAUAUACGGCAAGGGAGAAAUGCAGAAGGUAUUCUACAUUUAGAAAGAAUAGGCCACAUGAAAGAACUAGAGGAUGCAAAGAGCAAAUCACAUUAUUAUGAUGGGUAACUAAUGCUUGCAAGUGCUUUAACCAACGAGGGUCGUAAGGUCUAGUAAGUGACUCUGUAAUUAAUGAAAGAGGUGAAAAUUUUCAGGAAAGAAUUAUUUGCAAUAUCGAAACUAGAUAGUAGAGGAUCUCAUUGCAAGCCAUAACUGUAACUACUUGAAGGUCAAUACAAAAGUUGGAAAGCUUUUGUUGGUCAAUGUGAAUUAGUCUUUAUUUUAUACUUGAUAAGUUAUGGCCAAUUAGACUUUGCCAUCAGACUAUCACAGUUGAGACAAUUGAGGCAAACAAUAGUAACUAUAUAUAACAAGUUGAUCAAGUUAUAAUCUUUAAUAGUAGGCUAAUGCUCAGAAGCUCUAAUGCACCAACAACAGGAUGCCAAAAUUGUAAAACGUUUUCAUUAGAGCUUAAGUUAACAUUCUGUAGGUCACAUUUCAAGAUACUUCAUUUACUUUCUACAACAAAAAAGGCAAUACAAUUUCACCUUUCCCCUUUACCUUUUUUUACAGCAAAAAUCCAAUACAGUUUCUGCUUUUUAACAAACUGCUAAUAAAUUGCUACUUAACCAUAAUUGAAGUCUUUUCUAUCUGAGAAAUCAUGGAGUGUACAGUAAGCUUCAGAAACGGCCUCACUUUACCACUACACAUACGCCAAUACAAUCACCAAAGCCUCAAAGACAUUACAAAUUGCAGAACCAUUUUACACAACACAAAUUACAAAUUUCUAACACAUAAUAUCUACACUAGUACUGUAAGCUAACAUAUAAUAGAGAUGGAUAAUGCUCAAAAAAGGGUAGAAUAUAUACUACUUAGCAGCAAAGACAAUAAUAGAAGCCUGAUAACAUAAAUAAAUUGAAAACCCAAAUUAAACCCUAACAUAAAUAAAUUGAAACUUACAAAUUAAAGCCUAAGAAUAAAAAAAUUAACUUACUAAUUGAUCUCUGAGAAAUGGAGAACCAACAGAACCAAGAGGGACGAAAAGAGGUGGAGGCAGAUCACACAGAAUAGGCCAAGGAAAGGGGAGCAAGAAAGGGGAAUGCCAUUCGGUGGGAUAGAAAGCAAGGUGGAGAGGAGGACGACAACGUUGAUGGAGAUGGCGACAUCGAGGAUGGUGCAGAGGCGACGACAGAAAUGCAGAGGCGACGGCAGAGGUGCAGUGGGAAAGAACAGAUCGAGUGGGAGGAAGAGAAUAGAAAGAAGAAAAAGAAAAAUGAAUUUUAGGGAUUAAAUAGAACCUCAUUCUCGACGACAAUAAGGAUGUGACUCAAUAGCGACGGCAAGGCCGUCGCCUAUGACCUUUUCCCAUGUCCGCGAAAAAAUUCCCACCAAAUUUAGGCUCGGGAAGUGUCAUUCUCGACGGGACACAUUGGCGACAGCUAGGCCGUCGAUAAUGAGGUUAUUUUCGACGGGAUACAUUGGCGACGGCUAGGCCGUCGAUAAUGAGAUUAUUCUUGAGAGUAACCCUUUGCAACUAAUCUAUCUUUGUUUCUUGUAAAUCCGAGUAUUCAUUACUUCAAACUUGGUGCAUCGUUAUUCAUCCCAUGAUACAUAACUAACUACAUAAUACAAACUAUUCUACAUUAUUAGUACAUCAUUUACACAACUCUAGUACAUUUACUCUUAUUUUUUCCCUGUCUUUUUAGUAUUUGAACCCCACGCCUUAGUAUGUGGGUGUAUUUAUGCUCCACUAAUUAACCUACCUGUCAACUUGUUUUCAAGAAGACAAAUUCCUAAUGUCUUGAGGGUUUUGGUUUUUAAUCACCCUAUCCAAGAUUCCUAACAACAUAAAGAAAAUAAAGCCAUUUUUGCUCAAGUAAUUCUUGCAUUCACAUAGCUAAAUAAUAAGAUGAGCAAAAUUCUUUCAUUCACAUAGCUAAAUAUAAUCUUAUUAAGAAAGAAAAUAAAAGAAAAAAGGUCUCCAGUAUUCUGUUUUCUUGCUGCAGUAUAUGAACACAAAGAUAUGGACCAAGACUUGUAAUCAAAAUGUGGGGUUGUGGUUCAUGUGUCCGUAAAAUGGGUACCACAUGCCUAUGGUUGGCCUAUCCUUUUCAUUUCACCACCAUGUGCUAUAUGAACUAGGAUACUCUCCAUUUCAAAUAAAUGAAAACUCUUCAUUUUAUGGUUCAAUUUUAAAAUGUACUCUCUCUUUCCUGUCAGCAUGAUGUCACAGUCUAACACAUUUUAAAUUUAGACUAUAAAAUGAAAAGUCACCAUUUACUUAAAAUGGGAGGAUCCUAGUCCGUGCUAUAUAUGUUUGAAAUGUUCUUUACUUCUUUCUAUUUACCUCGGUAGCGGCCAGGUAUCAUUAUUGAUGCAUCAUUAUAUAUCUAGAAUAAAUAAGGCUUAUGCUAUAUUAGAAAAAUGAUAUAUCUUACGAUUUUAUAUAUUAAUUUUUUUUAUUGUCAAUUACGUGUAUAACUAUUGUUGGUUAACGAUCUAUGUGAUAUUAUAGGUCAAUUUUAUAAUUUUACCUAAUCUCAUAUAUUAAUAUACCUCACAAUUGUAACAAAAAACUUUCGCAAUAUAUAACCAAAUUCUUUACAUAAAAUUAUGUUGUUUUGAUCCUCCAUAUUUUUUUAACAACAUAUACUAUUCUAACUCAAUUUUAGGUAUACAUUUCAUCCUUUGGACGGAGGAAGAGAUCAAGAGAAGAACUAGAAAUUAAAUGACAACUUGGAAGGAUAUUUUUGUAAUUCAAGCAUCUAAUAUAGCUCCUCAUAAAUUAUAACUUCUGCUAAGGAUAACUCAUAUAUGUGACUUUGCGCAGAAAUAAAAAAUGCCUUUAUCACUGAACUAUUACUUUUGGUUUACCCUCCAUUGUAUAAGUUUAGAGACAUGUGAUGGGAAGAGAAAAUAUAAUUUCUUUUUUAUUAUGUUUGUAAGUUUUAAAAAGGAAGUGAAGAG
rnacentral:lncRNA from 1 species